UACAGAGGGUGCAAGCGUUGUUCGGAAUUAUUGGGCGUAAAGGGCGCGUAGGCGGUUCGGCAAGUCUCUAGUGAAAUCUCAGGGCUCAACUCUGAGUCUGCUGGGGAAACUGCCGGGCUUGAGUGUGGGAGAGGAGACUGGAAUUCCUGGUGUAGCGGUGAAAUGCGCAGAUAUCAGGAGGAACACCGGUGGCGAAGGCGGGUCUCUGGGCCGAUACUGACGCUGAGGAGCGAAAGCGUGGGGAGCGAACAGG
rnacentral:rRNA from 1 species